AUUUAUAAGAGAAAAUGUUAAUGACUUCGAGGUAAUAAAACCAUCAUUUAAGUAGUAGGAAUAUAACAUUGUGAAUUUUAUUUUCAAAACAACUACCCACUUGUUUGUCAAUUUCUUCUUUUUUUCUUAAACAUACACCAGAAUAAAUAUGAUUGACCUGUUGCAUAAAUGGUGUUAGGGUGUUUAGGUUUAAUUCAAUCCGCUUAAUUUGCAUAAAUCCACAUAACUCAAUUAACCACAAAAUAAUGAAUUAGAUGCGGAUUUAUGUAAAACCUGCAAAACUCCAUCCCCGAUCAGCCCAAAACGGCCCUUGGUGGUUGCACUGUAGAAGAAUUUCUCCAUUUAAAAACGUAUUCUUCUGUUUUAUAUUUCGAGGAAGGUUUACUAGUUUCGGGACGCAGUUGAUUGACGAAUGUCGGCGAAUCUUUUCAGAGAUUGCAAUUAGCACGUGUAGAACUGCGCGUCAGCUGCGGGGCGCAAAAAGCAAAUUCAAAGAAUGUGGAGGUGCAGCAGCUUCACCGAAUGAAUCUUGAUAGCUAAACAACAAAUAUCGCCCGCCUCAUUGCUGAUGCCGCCGAUAUCAGUACGAACUUUAUGUACAUAUGCUGUACGAUUCUUUGAAUCAGCUUCACAGGUUGCAUUAAUCCUGAACAAGAUAAAUUAUAAUCUGCGACGACUCUAUUACAUCAGAGAUUUGAAAUUUCUUUAUGGUUGUGUCUGCAGCACUCUCCUGCUUUUACAUAGAGUUGGUGGGUUGAUCUGUUAGCGUCACAAAAACUAUUAAAUGAUUUCUUUGUAGAAACUAGUGUUGCCUUCUUUGACAAAAUCAUGCAAGAAACUAUCGUUUUCAUUUCUAGUUCUUCUUAAUUAACGCUUAAUUAAUCUUUGAAACUGUUGAGCGCUUAAAAAGAAAUUUUGCUUUAAUCUCGGCAAGUACCACGAAAUUUAAUUUCUUGUUGAAAAAUACAUACAUGCAUAAUCCAUCCCUAUAUUCAAU
rnacentral:lncRNA from 1 species